CCUACGGGAGGCAGCAGUGGGGAAUAUUGGACAAUGGGGGGAACCCUGAUCCAGCCAUGCCGCGUGUGUGAAGAAGGCCCUCAGGUUGUAAAGCACUUUCAGUGAGGAAGAACGCCUGGUGGUUAAUACCCAUCAGGAAGACAUCACUCACAGAAGAAGCACCGGCUAACUCCGUGCCAGCAGCCGCGGUAAUACGGAGGGAGCGAGCGUUAAUCGGAAUUACUGGGCGUAAAGCGCGCGUAGGUGGCUUGAUAAGCCGGUUGUGAAAGCCCCGGGCUCAACCUGGGAACGGCAUCCGGAACUGUCAAGCUAGAGUGCAGGAGAGGAAGGUAGAAUUCCCGGUGUAGCGGUGAAAUGCGUAGAGAUCGGGAGGAAUACCAGUGGCGAAGGCGGCCUUCUGGACUGACACUGACACUGAGGUGCGAAAGCGUGGGUAGCAAACAGGAUUAGAUACCCCUGUAGUC
rnacentral:rRNA from 1 species